AGAUGCGAGCGCCUGCCCAGGUACGCACGCUCCGCUGGAGCCUGGGGUGGCCGGGCAGUCGUGGCCGAGACGUGUUUGCUGCACUUCGGUGCGCACAGGCACUGCGGUGCCAACCUCUUGGUUUCGCCCUCCCCCCGCAGGCGCCCACGCGUGACCUCGGCCGCCCACAGGCCUUCGACUCUUCCCGGACUCCAGGUCCCAGGCCGCCCCGCUCCACCCUGCGGAUGAUGGAGACAAAGUCCCCCACAAGCCCCUCAUAUGGGGCAAGGGGGAAGGUACCACCUGGGGCGGGGCCUGGCUCCCCACUGAGCAGAGGUGCUGGCCAAGGCGCUCCCCUUAGUGAGACAAGGUUUCACCAUGUUGCCCAGGCUUUUCUCAAACUCCUGAGCUCAAGCAAUCCGCCCACCGCAGCCUCCGAAAGUGCUAGGAUUAUAGGCGUGAGCCACUGCACCCAGCCCCAGGUGGCAAGUCUUUCUGAUAGGCACUGCUCCAAAGUGAAUCACACUGUGCUAAGCCCCCGCAAGGGAGUGCCUUUGCAGCUUACAGCUGCACACUCGUCAUCUCAGGAGGUCCUUGCAACAGUCCCCUUUCACGGGUAAAGAAACUGAGGCCUCUACUCAACAUCACAGAGCAAGCUAAUGCCAGACUAAAACCUCUGGCCUCCAAACCCCAUGCCCUUUCCUUUUGUAAGCUACACAGACUGUCAGGGCAAAUGUCCACUGAAUAAAAGCAUGAGAUGAUGAAUGGAUGGAAAUUAACCAAAAAGGUCAUCAACACAUUUUCAACAGAUCCAUCAAUGUGCACUCAAAGAAGCUGAGACAGGCCUAACCUUUAAAGGCUGAUGUCAAGGAAGGGGAGCAGCAGGAUGGUACUCGGUCUGACCCAGCGGGGUCGCUCCCCUGAGCCUAUGUGUGUUUGGAGUGGACGAGAAUGGGAGAGAGAUUAGAAAAACAGCAGCAUCAUGUGAAUUACAGAUGCACAGGAAAGCUUACAGCCUGUCUAGACAAAUUCACUUAUGUUACAGAUGAGGAAACUGAGGCUCAGAAAGAGGAAGGGACUUGCCCAAGGCCACAUAGCAAAGGAAUAGCAAAGUUGAGACAAAAAUAAUGGACAUUGUGACUCUGAGUCAAGUGAGAAACAGAGAGACUGAUGGAGAAGUGUGUGUGUGUGUGUGUGUGUAUGUGCAUGCAGUGUGCACUCACUCAGGGGGCCAGGGUCCUGAAUUCAGAAAAACUACCACCAAGAAGGCAUUAUGCCUACCCUACCCAGGCAGUGGGGGCUGGAGCCAGGGCCCGGGGGCUGGAACCAGGGCCCAGGGGCUGGAACCAGGGCCCAGGGCCUGGAGGGGAUGGUAAGCCUCCAGCCCCACCUUCUCCAGGAAGGGGCUGGUGGUCUGGCACGGGCCAAGCGUACCUGGCCAUCCACAGUGCUCACCUCCACCAGGGUGAUCUCUGGCCGGGUAAGCAGCUCUCGGCCCUCUUGGCUGCCUAGCUUCCAGAGGCGGGACUCUUGCUGCAUUCCCAGAAGCUUCUUCAACUCCGACUCCAGGAAACCUGAGAGCCAGAGAGAUGGCAAGGGACAGGGAGAUGGCAGGGAACAGGCAGGAGUAGGGUGGAGCAGCCCGCUGGGAACCCAAGGACCCAGAGGUGCAACCGCUCCCUGAGCCUCAUCCCAGCUCUUUGUGGUUCCUGCUCACCCUCAGCCACAGCCCUCUCUUCUUCCAGGACGUAGAGUCAGCCAGCCACCACCCCUCCUUCGCCCUGCCUUCCCCAGGAAGCUCACUCUUUGAGGGCCUUCUCUGGCAGCGGCAGCAUGAGAGCCUGCGUCUUCACCCACUGGGGACAGCAUGCAAGGGGCAGGUAUUUGCCCCCACCACCAACCAACUCAAGAGCCUGGAUCUGGAACCCAAACUGCCUGCACUCAAGUCCCAGCUCUGCCCAUCACUAGCCGUGUGACAUCGGGCAAGUUCUCACUGUGAACUGCAGAUGGCAAUAGGACCCACCUCAGAGUCGUAAAAUGCAGGAUUUUAUGAAAAGUGCUUAAAGAGGGUCUGCCCCAUUAAUGGCUAUGUAAAUGUGAACCACGAUUUUCAUCAUAUUAUGUAUGCUAUCACCACU
rnacentral:lncRNA from 1 species